UCCAUAUCGUUGAGGGCCUGAUCGAUAAAUGCCAAUUUCCUUGCCUGGCUCUUGGGGAUUCCAUGUUUUGUAACAAGAGCCAGGUGAGUCACAGCUAAAACUAAAGCAGCAACUCUUGCUUCCAGCAAACGGGCAUCCAAAGAUACCGUUGCCCAUUGUCUAACGGUUUAUCUUUUGUUGAAAUUUGGACAUACGUCAACGAUCUCCAGGGGCACAGUAUUGCUGUUCACUGUUCCAGCGAUUGCUGUAAGACUGGCAGCCAAGGAAUGGCAGGAUCUAAGCACCGCUAUACAUGGUGGAGCCAAGCCAGUCGCAUCGUCAACCCACCUUUGGAAAAUUGUGAUAUUUGAAAGACAAAUGAAUUGGGAAGUCGGAUGAUUAAAUGCAUGAAUAGAA